rnacentral:rRNA from 1 species
CAGUUCGAUAUACUAGUAGCAAUCUAGACUGCUAACUUGACAGAACAGAGAUACAAAAGUGCCUUGCACAAAAUGAGAACAAAAUAACAAAAUAAACAUGAGAAAAACGGUUUCUAAAAAAACAAGAAAGUCUAUAAUCGAGCACGGCGCUCUCGCAUAUGCA